rnacentral:rRNA from 1 species
CCUACGGGAGGCAGCAGUGGGGACUAUUGCACAAUGGGGGAAACCCUGAUGCAGCAACGCCGCGUGAGUGAGGAAGUAUUUCGGUAUGUAAAGCUCUAUCAGCAGGGAAUAGAAAAGAAGGUACCUGAAAAAGACGCCCCGGCUAACUACGUGCCAGCAGCCGCGGUAAUACGUAGGGGGCAAGCGUUAUCCGGAUUUACGGGGUGUAAAGGGAGCGUAGACGGAGAGACAAGUCAGAUGUGAAAUCCACGGGCUCAACCCGUGAACUGCAUUUGAAACUGUUUCCCUUGAGUGUCGGAGAGGUAAUCGGAAUUCCUUGUGUAGCGGUGAAAUGCGUAGAUAUAAGGAAGAACACCAGUGGCGAAGGCGGAUUACUGGACGAUAACUGACGGUGAGGCGCGAAAGCGUGGGGAGCAAACAGGAUUAGAUACCCUUGUAGUC